CAAAGGUGAGCCAGUACAGGAUGGACCCGCGUCUGAUUAGCUAGUUGGUAAGGUAACGGCUUACCAAGGCGACGAUCAGUAGCCGACCUGAGAGGGUGAUCGGCCACAUUGGAACUGAGACACGGUCCAAACUCCUACGGGAGGCAGCAGUGGGGAAUAUUGCACAAUGGGCGAAAGCCUGAUGCAGCAACGCCGCGUGAGUGAUGAAGGCCUUCGGGUCGUAAAACUCUGUCCUCAAGGAAGAUAAUGACGGUACUUGAGGAGGAAGCCCCGGCUAACUACGUGCCAGCAGCCGCGGUAAUACGUAGGGGGCUAGCGUUAUCCGGAUUUACUGGGCGUAAAGGGUGCGUAGGCGGUCUUUCAAGUCAGGAGUGAAAGGCUACGGCUCAACCGUAGUAAGCUCUUGAAACUGGGAGACUUGAGUGCAGGAGGGGAGAGUGGAAUUCCUAGUGUAGCGGUGAAAUGCGUAGAUAUUAGGAGGAACACCAGUUGCGAAGGCGGCUCUCUGGACUGUAACUGACGCUGAGGCACGAAAGCGUGGGGAGCAAACAGGAUUAGAUACCCUGGUAGUCCACGCUGUAAACGAUGAGUACUAGGUGUCGGGGGUUACCCCCUUCG
rnacentral:rRNA from 1 species